rnacentral:rRNA from 1 species
GACGAACGCUGGCGGCAGGCCUAACACAUGCAAGUCGAGCGGACCUUUCGGGGUCAGCGGCGGACGGGUGAGUAACGCGUGGGAAUAUGCCCUUCUCUACGGAAUAGUCCUGGGAAACUGGGGGUAAUACCGUAUACGCCCUUUGGGGGAAAGAUUUAUCGGGGAAGGAUUAGCCCGCGUUGGAUUAGGUAGUUGGUGGGGUAAUGGCCUACCAAGCCGACGAUCCAUAGCUGGUUUGAGAGGAUGAUCAGCCACACUGGGACUGAGACACGGCCCAGACUCCUACGGGAAGCAGCAGUGGGGAAUCUUAGACAAUGGGGGCAACCCUGAUCUAGCCAUGCCGCGUGAGUGAUGAAGGCCUUAGGGUUGUAAAGCUCUUUCAGCUGGGAAGAUAAUGACGGUACCAGCAGAAGAAGCCCCGGCUAACUCCGUG